CAUCUAGGCAUUCACUAGCAGAGGCGGAUGGCGUAGAGGACCAGGGCUCAUCAAGCAACAAGAAUGCACGGUUGGAGAAUGUGCUGACACAGCUCAUUCACGCCACGACGUAGUUCCAGACCUCUGACAUUCGCCUCUGCACGAUGGAGCCGUGCCUCCGAUCAUUUUGCCGACUGCGCCGUCUUCUUCGUACUAGGGGCCUAUAUAUUGCACGGCCAUGGCUGCUAAAAGACAAAGUGAGAGGAUUAUUAGAACAUGGAUUCCUUUGAAGAAUGUAAACCUGAAUUCAUGUGGACAUCAAGUGCAGCAACACGAAUUUGGCUCCUUGAUUCAACAAUAGCUCUUGACUGCAUCUAAUCACCAUCUAUUGCAGUUCGAUUAUACAGUGUACCUAUCGCGGCAGAUUAUCCUUCAACACAUUUAAUUUGCACCGCCAUUCAGUUGCCCAUCAAUUCUACCCAUACCAUCCGCCAUAGCAAUGGCCCUUCGAGGGGUACCGGAUGGUGUCAACUCCUAGACGUUAGCCGUCCCAAGGUUCUUCCAUUGUGACCACAUGCCCACCGAGUAUGCCGUUAUGGAGAGUGAAUUGGAGAGCAUCAUUCGUUUGUUGUGCACACGCAAGACUGUCAAAGUUGAUGACAUGAAUCUUGCCCCAAACAACAAGUUGGAGCAACUCUAUGUAGCAUCGGUGACUUACGAUCAGCAUCACUAGGGCGUGGCAAGAAAAGGCGCAGCGUCUGAGCAACUCAAUUUGUUUGAGGUAUGAGAGUCUGAUUAGCAAGAUCAAGUAUACAUAUGUCUCAAGUCUCCUGCUUUGCUACUCAUAAACCACAUUAGGAUUUGUGUCAUGCCGGCGACCUCACUGUCACGCGGAUGUAUGCCGGCAAGAAGACUCCAGCUAAUCCCCAUCGCAAGGUAGCGGACUCACUCACCUGUCUACUGGGUCACAAACGCGACACCGUGCCCUCCUCGGUCGCAAUAUUAGGAUAACCAUGUUUUCUCGCAGAAAAAGAUCAAAGAACAUUAUAGCAGAGUGCCACGCGGGAUGUUAUAAGGAACAGACGUGAGUAGUGUUCAGCUGAAGUAUGGUACCUUUUGCCGUUUUUCUGCUAAUCGGUGACUUUUCUGAUUUUUCAUGCCCGUUCUUUUGUUUCUAUGCCGUAGUUUUUGCGAGAUAUCUGUCAGUGAUGGCAAGACUGUAUCUGUAAGAUGUUUAUGCUUCUCUGUUCGUGAAACAUAUUGGCCUAUGAUUUUACCACAAAUAUUA